UGGAAACUGUNUGACUUGAGUGCAGAAGGGGAGAGUGGAAUUCCAUGUGUAGCGGUGAAAUGCGUAGAUAUAUGGAGGAACACCAGUGGCGAAAGCGGCUCUNUGGUCUGUCACUGACGCUGAGGCUCGAAAGCGUGGGUAGCGAACAGGAUUAGAUACCCUGGUAGUNCACGCCGUAAACGAUGAGUGCUAGGUGUUAGGCCCUUUCCGGGGCUUAGUGCCGGAGCUAACGCAAUAAGCACUCCGCCUGGGGAGUACGACCGCAAGGUUGAAACUCAAAGGAAUUGACGGGGGCCCGCACAAGCGGUGGAGCAUGUGGUUUAAUUCGAAGCAACGCGAAGAACCUUACCAGGUCUUGACAUCCCGAUGCUAUUCUUAGAGAUAGGAAGUUACUUCGGUACAUCGGAGACAGGUGGUGCAUGGUUGUCGUCAGCUCGUGUCGUGAGAUGUUGGGUUAAGUCCCGCAACGAGCGCAACCCUUAUUGUUAGUUGCCAUCAUUAAGUUGGGCACUCUAGCGAGACUGCCGGUAAUAAACCGGAGGAAGGUGGGGAUGACGUCAAAUCAUCAUGCCCCUUAUGACCUGGGCUACACACGUGCUACAAUGGUCGGUACAACGAGUUGCGAGCCGGUGACGGCAAGCUAAUCUCUGAAAGCCGAUCUCAGUUCGGAUUGGAGGCUGCAACUCGCCUCCAUGAAGUCGGAAUCGCUAGUAAUCGCGGAUCAGCACGCCGCGGUGAAUACGUUCCCGGGCCUUGUACACACCGCCCGUCACACCACGAGAGUUUGUAACACUCGAAGUCGGUGAGGUAACCUUUUAGGG
rnacentral:rRNA from 1 species